rnacentral:lncRNA from 1 species
GUGGAAGAUAAAAAAGGUGCUAUAACUUUGUGUUGUCUUGUGUUGUACCUCAAUCAUUACGAAUUACUAGUUCUCACACAUCCGGUCACCCAAAAAAAAAUCCUUAGACAAUAAAAAUGAAACUCUCGUGUUGUGUUCUGUAUUAUGGAAAUUAAAACAAAAGUGCAGUAGUUUGUGUUGUGUGUACUGGUUAGGCUGUGUUGUGCAAUAUUCAUUUUGUCUAGCUUAAGGUUAUAUUAUCUUUUAUUUUCAUUUUGUUAAAUUGUAUCUAUUUAUUUAUAUUAGUUUCAAUUAUUAAUCGAAAAACUCUUGUGAUGUAGGGUGGAAGUUAAAAAAGACUGUCGUAGAUUUGUGCUAUCCUCUGCUAAUAGUGUUGUGCCUCAAUUCUCUCCAACAUAAGGUAAAUUACUUUUUAUUGUUAUUGUUAUUUAUAUUUAAU